UAGUUCAAGGGACUUUUUAGCAAUUUCAAGGGAUCGAAGAGAGGAAGCAACGCGACAACAACGCUCGUAGGUUUGGCUCCAUGUGAAACGUACAUUGCCAUAGAUGAUAGAGGUCCUAUUGGCAUAACAUUUUGAGGCUCUUGUUAAGAAGGUAAGAGGAGUUAAAGACACAUAAUUUGCUCCACAUUUUGGUAAAUUAUCCAUAGGAUUAUUAAAGUAAAAAGUUGUGUUUUUUUUAAAAAGAAGUAUAAGGUAUUAAAAUUUGUUGGAGAGGAAAAUAUAGUGAGGUAACUUAGAAUUUGUAUGCAAAAGAUGCAAACUAAGAUGGAAAAUUUAUAGUGAAAAAACUAAGUGUGGAGUCAAGACUAAUGUGGCCCAUUAUGGGUCCCUAAAUGGUUGUUUAGGUGGAAAUCAUAGUGAAGUUGCAAUGACUAUGUAUAGUCAUGUCGUAAUUUACAUGGCAUAAUUAAAUUUUGAGAUAUAAAUUUUUAAAUUUUGAUGGUAAA